AUCCCUGUCUCCUCUGCACUGGGGAACUUGGGGCCACUCACCCAUUGGCCUGGGACUCAGGAGCUUGACUGGUAAAAAUGAAGUAGCCAGGCAGGGUGGUUGGACACCCAGGGAAGGGUGGGCCCAAGGAAAAAGAAUCAGCCUCCAUGAUGAAAAAAAUGAGGAACUUCCCAUCCAUCAAGAUGGAGGAUGAGAGACCCACAUUCCCCACAGGCAGUGAGCCCAGUCUGGAAAGGGAGUGUGGCUAAACCAUCUGCCUUCAUCUUCCAACCAUCUGAGGAACAAUUACAGACGGGCUCAGCCUCAGUGGUAUGCUUUGUGAACAACUUCUACCCCAAAGAAGCCACAGUCCAGUGGAAGGUCGAUAAUGUGGCCAGAAGCUCAGGUGUCGUGACCAGCUUCACAGAGCAGGACAGCCAGGACAGUACAUACAGCCUGAGUAGCACCCUGGCCCUCACUGCAAGCGAUUACAAAGCUCACGAAACAUACACCUGUGAGGUCACUCACGAAAGCCUGUCCUCUGCCCUAGUGACAUCCUUCCAGAGGAGCCAAUGUUCUUGAGCGGGGCAACAGGGGCCCGCAGAAGGGAACCUCCCCAACUCCCACCCAUUCCCCACCCCUUCUUGCUCUCAUGUUUCAAUGUCCCCUUUCUUGGCCUAGUGAUAACAGGUCAUUCUCCUGUUCAAAGAUCCACCUACCCAUGGCCUUAUUCAUUCUUGUCUUCAUCUUUGCCUGCGCUAAUAAUGUCUAUAUUUAAAAGGAAAAAAAAAACAAAUAAAGUCAAUUAAAUGGUCCCUGUA